rnacentral:lncRNA from 1 species
UUUGAGACCACCCUAGGGAGACCCUCGUCUCCCUAGUCAUUAAAAAAAAAAAAAUUAGCUGGGCACAGUGACUGUAGUCCCAGCUACUCGGGAGGCUGAGGUGGGAGGAUCACUCGAGCCCAGGAGUUUGAAGCUACGUCAGUUAUGAUUGAGCCACUGCACUCCAGCCUGGGCAACAGAGCAAGACCCUGUCUCAAAACCAACAAACAAAUGAAAAAAAAAAUGAGAGCUCGAGAGAGAGAGAGAUGUUGGCCAUUGAAAGAGCUACUCUGGAGCUUGGUGGCACAUGUGACCCAAGAUUAGCCAAUCAGGGCAUCACACUCCCCAGGCCAUGGUGACUGGUUCAGGAGUGGGCAUGUGACCCAAUCAAAGACAAAGGGUUUAUUUUUCUACGACAUUUGUAGGAGAUGCAUAUGCCCUUCUCUCCACCAGGCUUCAACCUGGAAGAAGGGAAAGCCUAGAUAUGCCAGGGCCCAUGAGGAUAAAUGACCCCCAGUCAAGGAAGCAGAACCAACGAACAGAGAGAAACUGAAUUCUGUGAUAUUCACACCCUGAAUCCACCAUAUCUGAAAUUCAUCCAAACCUUUGGAUGGCGUUUUACGAGACAAUACAUUCUUUUUUUCUUCUUCAACUGUUAAGAGUCCAAACUUUAGGGUCCCCACCUUGUUACUUGCAAUGAAACGGACACAGUGGAAGACAGCUUGGAGUAGGAAAAGGACUGAAGACUGCAGCAGCCAGGUGAACUUCUAUUCGUCCAUCAAGACCCAACCCAAAGAAACCCACUUGAAGCCAGGCGGGAGGGCUCACGCCUGUAAUCCCAGCACUUUGGGAGGCCGAGGCUGGCGGAUCACCUGAGGUCGGGAGUUCAAGACCAGCCUGGCCACUAUGGUGAAACUCCGUUUCUACUAAAAAUAAAAAAAAUAGCCGGGCAUCAUGGUGGGUGCCUGUAGUCCCAGCUACUCGAGAGGCUGAGGCAGGAUAAUCGUUUGAACCCGGGAGGCGGAAGUUGCAGUGAGCUGAGAUUGCACCAUUGCACUCCAGCCUGGGCGACAAAGCGAGACUCCGUCUCAAACAACAACAACAACAAACUACACUCUAGUCUGGGCGACAGAGCAAGACCCUGUCUUAAAAACAAACAAACAAACAAGGAAACCCCAUUUGUAACUGCCACUAAUUGGACUAUACUUCUGGUGGGCCAUCUUCAAGCUUCGGGCUUGAAUAAACCCUAU